ACAAACUGAUUUGUAAGGCUUUAUCAUGUAGCCGGGAUGUUUUUAAUCCAACAGCAUAACUCAACAUUGGUAUAAGCCAUUUUGGAUGCCAAAAGUGGACAUCUCCACAGCCUUUGAUGUUAUUGCCAUUUGCAAGUGCCCAUUCAACAGAUUGAUCUAAGAAGGAAAUGAGUCUACACAGAACUUAAUUGAUCCAUUCGGUUGAGGAGCCAAUACUCGUGAAUUCCAGCUGCUUUGACUCGGUUCAAUCAAGUGAUUUUCUAGAGAAAGGGAAAAAAAGAAUGGAACCAGAAAGACCAUCUGAUAUCAACUAAGGCACUGGUGGCUUUGCAAAGUCCUCCUUACUAACAUCUAGGGGUUUAGUGCCAAAACUGGGAGAGCUGUUUCAGACUAGUCAACAGAUUGACAAUCAUAUUUGCAAAAUCAUUCCUAACACACAAUGUCCCAGAAAGCAUCAGCCCCAUCCCUAAGUUUGUCCUGACUCACUUGCAGGACAGACCAGGAAAGGAUGGAAAUGUGGUAUACUGUGGAGAAAUUUGCCUUAGGAGUCUCAACAUUCACUCCAAAAACUGUGAAGUCUCAUGGCAUCAGUCAACAUGUGCAAGCUCUCUGAUGAAGGGUCUAGGCCUGAAACGUCAGCUUUUGUGCUCCUGAGAUGCUGCUGGGCCUGCUGUGUUCAUCCAGCCUCACAUUUUAUUAUCUAUGUGCAAGGAAACCUUCUGAUUACCACAUAUGCCCAACCUCCGGUCCAGUGAAUGAAUCAGUGCUCCCCUAUGUUGAGCUGCAACUUGGCAGAAGCACAGAAGGGGAAAGCCACAGAAUGUACUCUGGGUAGGGGACAUCAAUAUCCACUACCAAAACUGGCUCGACAGCACCACCCCACUGUCAGAGCUGUUAAGAAUCCUAAAGGACACAGCUGUUAGACUGGGUCUGCUGCGAAUGAUAACAGGGAACCAAUAAAAGAGAAAAACAUCUUGACUGUAUCUGCACCAACUUCCCAGUUGCAGAUAAACCUGUCCAUGACAGUGACAGUAAAAGUGAUCACUGUACAGUCCUUGUGGAGAAGAACCCUGUCUUCACAUUAAGUAUCACCUCAUUGUACAGUAUAGCACAAUCAAUAUGCUAAAUGGGACUUCGGACAGACUGAGCAACUCAAGACUAGGCAACCAGGAGGCACAGUGGGUCAGCAGAGAAUUGUACUCCAAUAGAAUUUCCGCUUCAUAGUCUGGCACAUCCCUUCAAUCUACCAUCGUCAUUAAGCCAGGGGACUGAAUGAAGAAUACAUGAAGACAUGUCAGGAGCAGCACUAGGCAUAUCUAAAAAUGAAGUGUCAACCUCUGAAGCUACAAUACAGGAAUACUUGCAUCCAAACAACCUAAAGGAACAAUAACUUACAGAUCAGAUGUAAGCACCGCAGUCCACCGCAGUCACAUCUAGUUGUGAAUGACAGCGGACAAGAAAAGACUAUGGAACCUGACAACAUUCUUGCAAUAGUACUGAAGUGCUAUGUUCCAGAACCUGUGCAUCCCUAGCUAAAGUUGUUCUAGUAUUGAUACAACACUGGCAGAAAACUGCAAGGUACGUUCUAUACUCACAAUAAAGUAUCCAACCCUACUAAUUACUGACACAUCAGUCUCCUUUCGAUCACAAGUAAAGAAAUAGAUGGUGUCAUCAACAGAGCUGUAAGCAGCACUUGCUUUACAAUAACCUGUGAUACUGACGUUCAGUUAAGUUUCUGCCUAUGGCUACUUAGCUCUUGACCUCAUUAUAACCCAUAGAAUCAUAGAGUUAUACAGCAUAGAAAUUGACCCUUUGAUUGAACUCAUUUUUGCUGACCAGACACUUCAAUCUGACCUAGUCCUGUCUGCCAGGAUUUGAUCGACAUCCCUCCAAAUCUUUGCUAUUCAUUUAUCCAUCCAGGUCCAAAUAUGGACAGAAGAGUUGAAUUCAGAAGUGAGGUAAGACAUCAAGGCCCCAUUUGACCAAGUGUGGUAUCAAGGAACUCUAGCAAAACUGAAGUUAAUGAGAUUUGAGGCAAACUCUCUGCUGACUGAAAUCACACCUGCCAGAAAGGAAGGUGGUUGUGGUUGUUGGAGGUCAAUCAUCUCAGCUCCAGGACAUCUCUGAAGGAAUUCUUCAAGUUCCUAAAGUCCUUGACUCAAUCAUCUUCAGUUGCUUCUUCAAUGAUCUUCCCUCUUUCAUAAGGUCAGAAGUGGGAAUGUUCACUCUUGCCUGUACACUGUUCAACUUCAUUUGUGAAUCCUCAGAUACUGAAGCAGUCAACUCCCAAACGCAGCAAGUUCUGGAAAUAUCCAGGUUUGGGCUGACAAGUAGCAGUCACAUAAUACAUUUGCCAGGCAACGACCAUAUCCAACAAGACAGAAUCUCCCCCUCGACAUUCAGUGGCAUUACCAUUACUGAAUUCUCCCACUAUUAACACCCUUGAGUCAUCAUUGACCAGAAAUUGAACUGGAUUAACCAUACAACCAUUGUGGCUACCAGAGUACGUCAGAGGCUAGGAAUAUUGCAGUUAAUAUCUCACCCUCUGACUUCUCAAAGCCCAUUCAUCGCUACAAGACAUAAGGAGAGUGAUGGAAUAUUUCCUCCACUUGCCUGGAUGAGUACAUCUCUGACAACAUUCAAGAAGCUUGACACCAUCCAGGGCAAAGCACCCUGCUUGACUUCCACCACAUCCACAAACACUCAGUCUCUCUGCCGCUGAUGUUUCAGAGCAGCAGUGUGUACUACCUAUAAGACACACUGCAGAAAUUCACCAAGUCCGCUUAGACUGCAUCUUUGAAACCCACAAUCAUUAACAUUUAAAAGUACAAGAGCAGCAGAUACACGGGAACAUCACUACCUACAGGUACCUACAAAGCUACUCACCAUCAAGAUGUUGAAAUACAUUGUUGUCCCUUCGGUGUCUCAGAGUCAAAAUCAUGGAACUCCCUACUAAUGGCAUUGUGGGUCUAUAUACAGCAAAUGGACCACAAUGGUUCAGGAACGCAGCUCACCUCUACAUUCAAGGGCAACUAGAGAUGGGCAGUAAAUGCUGGCCAGCUAGCAUUGCCCUAAUCCCGUGAAUGAACUACUUUGCAUUUCAUUGCAUUACGAGGCUUACAAUUAUUACACAUACACUUACACUGCACAAUUACACAUUCUGACAGGGCUGUCAAUGAUUACCUGCUCUUUUAAAUGGAAUGCUGAUGCAAGUCAAUUAAAAAUCAUUGACUGUUCAGAAGUCCACAAAAAGUCUACAAUUUUUGUGGUAUAUUAUUCUAUAAUGAUAAAUAAAUUAUCAC